GGAAGCGUCUGGAAAGGCGUGCGAUACAGGGUGACAGCCCCGUACACAAAAAUGCACAUAUUGUGAGCUCGAUGAGUAGGGCGGGACACGUGGUAUCCUGUCUGAAUAUGGGGGGACCAUCCUCCAAGGCUAAAUACUCCUGACUGACCGAUAGUGAACCAGUACCGUGAGGGAAAGGCGAAAAGAACCCCGGCGAGGGGAGUGAAAAAGAACCUGAAACCGUGUACGUACAAGCAGUGGGAGCCUCUUAAUGGGGUGACUGCGUACCUUUUGUAUAAUGGGUCAGCGACUUAUAUUCUGUAGCAAGGUUAACCGAAUAGGGGAGCCGAAGGGAAACCGAGUCUUAACUGGGCGUUAAGUUGCAGGGUAUAGACCCGAAACCCGGUGAUCUAGCCAUGGGCAGGUUGAAGGUUGGGUAACACUAACUGGAGGACCGAACCGACUAAUGUUGAAAAAUUAGCGGAUGACUUGUGGCUGGGGGUGAAAGGCCAAUCAAACCGGGAGAUAGCUGGUUCUCCCCGAAAGCUAUUUAGGUAGCGCCUCGUGAAUUCAUCUCCGGGGGUAGAGCACUGUUUCGGCAAGGGGGUCAUCCCGACUUACCAACCCGAUGCAAACUGCGAAUACCGGAGAAUGUUAUCACGGGAGACACACGGCGGGUGCUAACGUCCGUCGUGAAGAGGGAAACAACCCAGACCGCCAGCUAAGGUCCCAAAGUCAUGGUUAAGUGGGAAACGAUGUGGGAAGGCCCAGACAGCCAGGAUGUUGGCUUAGAAGCAGCCAUCAUUUAAAGAAAGCGUAAUAGCUCACUGGUCGAGUCGGCCUGCGCGGAAGAUGUAACGGGGCUAAACCAUGCACCGAAGCUGCGGCAGCGACACUAUGUGUUGUUGGGUAGGGGAGCGUUCUGUAAGCCUGUGAAGGUGGCCUGUGAGGGUUGCUGGAGGUAUCAGAAGUGCGAAUGCUGACAUAAGUAACGAUAAAGCGGGUGAAAAGCCCGCUCGCCGGAAGACCAAGGGUUCCUGUCCAACGUUAAUCGGGGCAGGGUGAGUCGACCCCUAAGGCGAGGCCGAAAGGCGUAGUCGAUGGGAAACAGGUUAAUAUUCCUGUACUUGGUGUUACUGCGAAGGGGGGACGGAGAAGGCUA
rnacentral:rRNA from 1 species